CCUGCUAAAUAUGCAAUAACCCACUCCAUGCUAAGGGAGCUGAAGCAGCGCCACUGAUGUUUUUAGUCAUGGAGAGGCUCUAACCUCUAUAUAUAUAUAAUCUUGCUGCUGUACUAAUUUCUCAUUAGACUCUUAGCUGCCAAAGAGAUUUCUAAUAAAUAAUCACUCAUUGGCCUAUCGCAAAUAUUGAGUUUUAUGGCCAAUUUUUGGUCUUAGAUUUGUUGAUUUCUUCCUUUUUAUUGGUGUUUUUUGGGAGGCAAAUUUUUUAUCAAAUUAUGUAAAGAGCAGAUUAUUGAAAAAAUGUAAAGCUUCAUUUCAUCUCA